CAACAUUUGACAGUCAUGUCCUCUGGGCUGCAGGCAGGAAUGGAAGAACUGGAAGAGAUAAGUCCAGGUAUAGCAAGAACUCACUGUUUCCAGGGGAGAGCAGGAGAAGACACUGAAGGACUAAUAAUCUUAAUGCCACAACAGAUCAUGAACUCUGGAUCACAUCUCUCAGCAGGCCUGGGGACCCUCGGGGAUCCUGUUGAAAGACUUUAGGUGUGUAGUCAAUUAAGGUACUUGAUGAGAUUAAGAAAAACUGAAAUUCAGGUACAGACGACUACAACCAUGAUUGCUGAAAUUAAAGCAACGAAAUAUAACAUCCCAGAGAAAGAUAGUUGAUUGUUGACAUUUACAUUUACAUUUACAUUUAGAGCAUUUAGCAGACACUUCUGUCCAAAGCGACUUACAAUAAGUAAAUUUGUCUGAUACUUUUGGUUUGCAUCAAUAUUUGACGAUCAGGGGAUGACACUCAAAUAACUUUCUCUGAGGAGCUAAUUUUGUUGCUUUAAAGGAAAACUACAGACCUAAACAGACCUGCUGAGAUCUGGGAACAUACUGACAUUGCAAAACAAAAAAAAACACAAGCAGACAGACAAUCAGGAUGUAAACAAGCCCAAACUUUAUUUGGAGGUCAACAACAGAGGCGCUAACGUCGCUGAAAAUCAUUGCAAAGAAAAUAGCGUCAAAGUUGAACCAGGAACAGUUCCCAUGGACUGUUUGGAUAAACAUUUUACUGUUUUGCCCUUAUUUUAUUUUCCCAAAAAGUUUUACUAAGCUGGGGAAUUGUUUACAACCUGCCUGGUGGCUUGACUGCUUGUCUGACCUAUUUUCAGCAGUGUUGUUGAGCUCUCAGCAGUUGCCUUCCUGACUAUAAAGUUAUAACAGAGAACCGAAGCUAAAGACAGUGGUAUCAAAACAUGAUUGCAUGAAAAAUAUACAGAUUGCAUCUGAACAGAGCUGCAUGUUUUACAGGAAUCUCUUUUUCAAAUAACUCAUUUACUCUGGGAACAGGAUAUUAAAGGAAACAUUUUCAUGUUCAAAAUGUGAUUUUGGGUUACUACUAGAACAGGUUUUCAUGUUCUAAUGCUCAAAAAAUCCAUCAGUUUUCUUAUACUGUCCAGUGCUGUGCCCCUCUGUAUGAAAUACUCUGUUUUAGCUCAUGUCUCUUUAAGACUCCUACCUAGUGUCCUCUGAUUGGUCAGUGCACACAUGCCUGAACCAGAACAGCUCACUGCGUUUCAGAUCGGCUCUAUUGUGUAUCGGCUUCCAGAUAGCUUCACUUCUACUGUGAAUAUAUUUGUUAAUUAUGCAAAGGUGAGAUAUGGUAAUGCAGUAUGACGUCACAAAGUCACAGGUCAGGACCACGUCACGACUACUGACGAGCCAUUUCAGGAGCAAUGUUUUCUGUGGCAGAGAGGAGCUCUCAUCGAUGUGGAUUUUGACCUUUUUAAUUACAAGAAAUUGUACGUGCACAAGAAUUGAUAUAACACACGUAAGGAAAGGAAAAAACAAACAAAAAAAAAAGCAUUGAGCAAAAGGUCUCCUUUAAGACAGAAAACAUGUUAUUCAAGAGGUGCUGACACAUUGCGUUGCCUGCAGGAUGACACCUAUCUGGAUGUGGGUGCACAUCAUUGGGUAUUAGCAUCAUCUGGCCCCUUCCUCCCCUCCUCUUGUCCCAAUAUGCGGUGAUAAUUAUCACAAAAGACAUCAAACUGAACUCUUUCCUUUAAGUAAAGGACCAGUUUGACCUGACAUCUAUUUAGCCUCAAGGCAAAUUUGGCUCAGUGCCGGCUGCCUGUUAUCCAGUUAAGAGACAGAACACCAUUCUUUAAUAGUGUCAUUAACACAGUUGUUCAAAUGACAAUAGCGUUGACUUUGAUUAAGCCAACCUGUGAUAUAAUUGGUUCACAGGAGCAGUCGUGAUGGGUUAAAGGCAGUUUAACAACUGUUUUAAAGCCCAUAAGCAGCUAUUGUCAUUUGGCGAUCUCACCUUAAAAAAGCCUAAUAUGCAGACAUUAGAUUUAAUUCACAGUAAGAAAUGAUGAGUAUAAUUAAUCUAAAAGUUAUCAUUUCUCAACCUUGAGACUGCAGCUGGAGAAGCUCCAAGCCACUCAAGUGUUUCAGACUCUCAAACAGCCUUGACUUUAUAUCGUGAUGAAAGUCUAACCCGCUACAUUAAAGGUGAAAAUGACUAAUGACUAAUGCUAUGCAUGCUUUAGGACAACUGCAGCAUGAGGAAGGUCGCAGGCUUUUAAAAUAUGAUCGCAUUUGAUCAAACACGUACCUGAGGAGAUUGUACCUUUGGCUGGCAAAUGAAAAGCUGUCUCGAGCACUAAUUGAAUGAUUCAGCUAUUUUUCUUCUUACGCUGUCAUCUAUUUACAGUAGCAGCUUUAAUGUUUGUUCCUGUUUGUCUCUGUGGAAUAUAUGAAUAAUGUAUAUGAAUGGAGGAAUUUCACUAUAAAGAGUGUGAUUUUAGCUUCCACGGCAUCUCAAAAGGCGACUUUUUUUUUUUUUUUUUUCUUUAA